rnacentral:lncRNA from 1 species
CCUCCCGGGGCCUUCUGGGGCCUGCCCGAGGCGCCCCCAGGCGGGCGGCAGGGCCCCGGCGUUCGUCUGCCUGCGGCCGGGGUCCCGGCACGGCGGCUCCGUUGCGUUACCGGGCUCGGUGGUGCAGCCCGGGUUUAUUUACCUCACGGGUGUUACCGGGGGAAGGGCUCCGGGCGGUGCGCUGCUGCCCUUCGCCUGCUCCCGCCCCGGUGGGGUGGGUUUCGGUGGGAGUUCAGGCCGCGAGCUGAGCCCCUACGGGCAGCGCUCUUAAAAUAAACCAAGGAGAAGCUGGCGUUGGGUUCGGGGACAGGGGCUGUGGUGUAACAAGCGGCCCCUGAAUGAGGGAACGCGCCCGCUGGGUAACAAAAGAGGUCGGUUUUCGGUGCCAGGUCCCUGGGGAGCCCAGACCGCAAGGUUCACUCAUGUUUUCUGGCACCGCACGCCGAGGUGCUGGGAGCCAGCUUCACCGGCCCUCCUCUUGCACCAGUGUAAUCUCUUAUGUAGGAAGCUCCAGAUGUUUGGAGAUCUGACUGUUUUUGAAGCUUAGACACGUCCCACUUCAGUGUGUGUGCCCAGUUCCAAUAGAACGUGCACCCAGUUACAACUUUAAUACAGCAGUGUAAUACUGUUCAAUUUUUAAUUUAUUUUUCUCCAGGGUCAUUUAAAAAACUAUCUAAACGAGUCAUUAAAAUCUAUUGUGUUUUAAACCAAUGUGGGCGACUGUUGUUUUCUUUUGUAGCCCAUUCCUGACAGUGAAACACGGGGCCAGCUUUGGGCUGUGUUCUCCCCCCAUAUGGGAUCGGUCGUUGGGCGUUUUGGAUGUGAGGUCUCGGAGGUUGUGAGCUCUUGAAGAGGGUGGAUAUAGGAGUGAGGUAAUUAUUUUCCCUAUUGAAAAGGCGCUCCUCAAGGGCAACGAGCAUCUUUGAUUGCUUUUUUGUCCAGUUUUAAAAGAAAAAUCUGCCAGAACUAACGGAACAAUCGUGCAGUUUUGAAGGGCGGAGGACAUAAGGGACAGACUGAUGUCUCUCCUUUUCCAACUCGUACAACAAGUGAUACAACCGAGCAGUGGUGUUUGUCCAGGGGUGGGGUUCCAGGCGGCUGCAAACCCUGCUGCUCCCUGCUGCACGGCUGGAUUGCUCUUCCUUCUUCUUUUUCCCCAAAUAUCUUACCGUUUGUGUUGGGGCUGAGUUCAGUGGCCCUAACGUACCCACGCUAACGUGCACAGAAGAGCUCCGCGUUCUGGUAUGAGCCGGGGAGAACACCGGAACGUUUUCCCAGUGUUUCAGAUUUAAAGGCAAAUAAAAUAUCUCAUUUCUUCGCCA